GCAAAUCAGGAGCCUCAGCAUGGUAUCUAGAGGGCACCCCCAGUUUGACCAGCUGCCUAUAUAUGUUGUUUGAAUUUUAUCUUUCAAGGAUUCAAUUUUUUUUCUUUUUUCUUUUUUUCAGGUCUGUAUUUUCGCUUCACUAUGAUAAUCAAAAAGUGAAAUUUUGUGACCAACUGCAAAGGCAUCUCAAAAUCCAGGUUACUGAAAAGAGACCAAAUCUAUAUGUGUAGCGUUAUAAUAAACAAUAAGCAGACUCAAUCCUCCUAGAAAGUAGUAGUUAAAGGAGGGAACCAGUAAAGUUUAUUAGUUCAACACAGGACCGAUUUCAUUUAAGAUCAAGACAAAUAAAUUAAUUAAUUGUGGACUUAGCUCCAGAACUUUGAAUUAGUCCAAUAAUUAAGCACAUGCCAUUUCUUAUUCAAAUUUGGCGGCACGUACGUCUAAGUGCCCCGCGCCGCCCCACCCCCACCCCACCUCGAAGUGGUUGCGAUUGAGUUGACCACUGCUAACUUGCUGAUAAAUUUUUAGAAUCACUGGUAUUUCUAUGUACAACAAGGGAUGUAUAUAUGGAUCUAAUCCACCAAUUGCUUACCUGGAAAUUAAUGUGGUUUAUAGCUACCAAGCUCACCUCAUUUCUCCAUUAAAUUAAAUUAAGGAUAAUAUUAAGAAGAUAUUUGAUAUAGUUUUAUACUUAAGUUGAUUCUAAGAUAAACCAUUGAUUUAAAACUUAUCAUUUGAUAAGUUUUAUAAAAUUUAUUUUAAAUCAUCAAAUUAACAUAUUUAACUUCAUGAGUUAAAACUAAUAUUUACCUAAUUAAUUUUAAACGAUAGUUACUUUAAUCAAUUUUAAUUAAUAAAUUUAUUCGUUAAACAUUUACAUUUAAAGUAUUAUAGAUAUAUAAAAUAAUUAACCAUAAAAUAAUUAUAAUAAAAAAAAAGUCAUGGAUAUGGAAUUAUGGUUAUAAAAUAAUGCUUCUUAUUNNNNNNNNNNNNNNNNNNNNNNNNNNNNNNNNNNNNNNNNNNNNNNNNNNNNNNNNNNNNNNNNNNNNNNNNNNNNNNNNNNNNNNNNNNNNNNNNNNNNUUCAAUGACGCUCAUGACAUUGGAAACGUGUCUACUUUAUUAACAAAAAUUCAUAUAUACAAUAUGGUGAUCAUGAACAUUUUUCCCCAAUCGACAUGAAAUGUCAAAGUUACUAUAAAUUAAGAAAGCUAUAAUUUAUCUAUAUAAGGGAAUUAGGUGCCAUAUAUCAAGCUACGAGCCUUACUGCAACAGAAGUCUAGCUCCCCACUUUGUUAGACCAACUCCAGUCCAUUUAUUUUCAAUUUUUCACUUUCUCCGACAGAAAGGUGCAAGCUGUGUGCCCUUCCACACAUCAGAGACAAAGUUCUAGAUACAUGCCUACAAUCCCGAUCACUGCAAUGCUCAAUAAGAGUGGUUUCAGGGUUGCAGCGACUGAGCCAAUAAUUCUGACCAGGUCCGACUAGCUAGAACCAAUGGUGGAGGUGAGAGGUAAGCACGGCAAGAUGAACAUAAAAAAUGGAUGGUCUCUAUUUAUUUUAUUUGUUGCAACCCCAAUUAAAGAAAAACAUCUUAAGUCAAUCCCCUAAACAAACCUUCCAAUUUAGGCCAUUAGUAAUUCAGCAGUGACGUGAAAGCAUAAUGGCACUGGUUUUGUGAUCUCAUAUUAGGUACAAUUACCAAAAGCGAGAAGAAUGAUAACUAUUGGUUGCUUGUAUGUGCUUGCUUUCAUGCUUAUUUUAUCUAGUCAUUGGAAGCCAUUGAUCCUUUUAAAUCCCACCUUCGAUACUUGAAGAUAUAUAUAUAUAUAGAGAGAGAGAGAGAGAGAGAUAACUAUUGGUUGCUUGUAUGUGCUUCCUUUCAUGCUUAUUUUAUCUAGUCAUUGGAAGCCAUUGAUCCUUUUAAAUCCCACCUUCGAUACUUGAAGAUAUAUAUAUAUAUAUAUAUAUAGAGAGAGAGAGAGAGAGAGAGAGAGAGAGAGAGAGAGAUAACUAUUGGUUGCUUGUUUGUGCUUGCUUUCAUGCUUAUUUUAUCUAGUCAUUGGAAGCCAUUGAUCCUUUUAAAUCCCACCUUCGAUACUUGAAGAUAUAUAUAUAUAUAUAUAUAUAUAUAUAUAUAUAUAUAUAGAGAGAGAGAGAGAGAGAGAGAGAGAGAGAGAGAGAGUAAGCUAGCUGUCCACAGAAUACCCUUCUAUCUCCCCUUUCUUAACGUCAUGUUAAAAAUUAGAUCUAGAAUCCCCGGUUGACCCGCAGUGCUGAUCUUCAAAUUUGAUCUAAAAAUUAUUGCUGUGAAAAUUCAAAGGAGCAAACUUGUACAUAUUGGACUUGAAAAUUUGAGGAUGUGUUCCAAAUGCCAGCUCCUGCAUGAUGAUGUGCUGCACAUUUCAAGACAAAGCCUAAAAAUUAAUUAAAAUCCAAAGUUUUCUUCACCUGGUAAACCACCUCAGUGACAUAUUCUUUUGGGAAGGUUCAUCUCUGUCUUGACAUUUUCAACUAUUGUAAGAAUUGAUUCGUUGAAGGAGACCAAGAACAACCAACUACAAGAGGAUCUCUGAAAUGUUGUGUGGAACAUAAAUUUUCUGAAAAUAGCAAUCUAUGUGCCAUAAAAUGUUUCAGUGGGCACUGCUUAAUGCCCGUGUAGAGAGUCUAUUCUAAGGUAUUCAUCCAAUCAAUUAAUUAUGUACACAAAAGGGGGAAAAUAAGAAAGAAUGAAUUUGCACGUUCUCUCGGUGGGCCUAUGGAUAUGAAGAAAGCAAAUUGGUGGGUAUGCAUGGAGAGUUCUUCCAUGCCCUGGCAUGCAAUCUGAGGAUAUCUCUGGUUUUCUCCUUGGUCCUGCUCCCACAAUCCACUUGAAGCACUAAACACAAUUUCGCCACAACACCCAGCUGCGACAUCUCUUGAAGAACACUUGGAGUUGCAGAGAACUUGGAAAUGGAAUACAGAAUUCUCACUGCCCGUUCACUUGCCACGUGAGAAACCCUCAGUAUCUUCUUUGACACUAUAGCCAUCCCGGCUGCAUGCUUCAACAGUUCGGCUCUUCCUUCCGCGCACCCGCAUAGCUGAUCCAACACCGUUAGGAUCAUCUCACAAGCCCUUUUUUCUGAAGAAGCGAGAAGAAGCUCUGUCAAUAUCGAAACUGCGCCGGCUUCCACUGCUUUGACCUUGUUUCUCCCCCAUGGACAAACCUCAAUUAGUAGUUUGAGUGUAGCUUUUGUGGCCUGGUGAGAUAUAUGAUCCUGCAAAACUUGCACUGCUUCCACGAAGAAUUCGGGUUUCAAGGCGAUUAAUUGUAUUGGAUCAGCAACUUGGAGCAUCGAACUCAAUAGCAUUACAGCAUAAGCUCGGGACUCGUAGUUUCCUCGUUGUAGUACUCGUACCAAGCAACCCACAAAUUCACCAUUUUUUCCCACAAGCUUCUUGAGCCCGGCUUCUGACAGUAGGAGAUAAUGGAGAAUGCUUAGAGCUUCACUGCUCGCGCUCCUGGACUCUAGCCCUUUAUCUGAUUCCUCUUCGAAUGUUGUGAAGUUGGCUUUGCUCACUAUUGAAGCUAAGAAUUCAACUGCACCGGCGGACUCAAUGCACCGCUUGUUGGCGUCGCUCUCAGCCGCAAGGGCUCGAAGUUUUCCGAUACAUUUCAUCUGCAACUGUGGAGACUUAGCAUCAUUGAGAAGCUUCACGAUCUGGAUCUUGUUGAUCGGAAUCUUGGGCGUCGGAAUACGCUCUACACCGUUUGAAGCAUGGAGAGUACACCACGCCUGAAUCAGCCGCCGGAGAGUGUGGUUGGGAGUCAGAUCGGAGUCCGCCGACAGAACCUGUUUCGUCGCAGGACAGGUGUUAUUUUUGCCGGAAAACAACCACUUCUCGAUGCUCUCCCGAUCGUACGUUAUACCCGUUGACACCGUCACCGGAUCUUUCAUAAUCUCCAAAGAAAUCGGGCAGAGGAAAAAUGGAGGAACAUCGAUUUCUUCCAUCACCCAGAAGAUGAGCUGAAUCAAGAAUCAAGUUUAAAAGAAAUCUUGAGAAAUAUCAGAGGGUAGAAUUUGAAUUUGAACUUGAAGCUGUUGAGGAUAGUUGAGAUGUUUGAAGAUGGGAGGGAUCUGGGAUGAGAGCUUUAUAAAUAGGAGUGAGAGGUUCAAAACAUGAGAAAGUCAAAACACGGAAAAUAGGAACGUUGAGAAAGUGUGUAUGAUGAGAUAGAAGACUUUUCCAAGGGCUAGGAAAGGCUCAGGAAUCACAAACUUUACCAAGUCUAUCUCAUUAUAUCUGCACGUGCCCACUCCUUUGACUUUCUCUCUCUAACUCAACUCCAUUGGAUGCCGACAAGUUGUGUUGGGGAGGACGUGUGCGCUUCUUCGAUCACUCCCUCCCCAUAGCUGUGGCCAGCUCCGUUGACUAGCCGUUGGUACAGGGAACUUACUGUGCUCCUCAUCAAUAUCAGGCUUCUGAUUGCUCCUUUCUGGGUUAAAGUCAACUUAAAUCAUUUUUGACAUUAUCAAUGAAAGGUGGUGGGUUAUUAGGGUGGUUUGCUUCUGGAAUUUUCUGCAUUAACGGUCAAAUUUAGUGCUGGUUGGAUUUGAAUUUUGAGUUCAUUUUGAUUUCUUGGCUUAAUGGUUGUGCCUUUUUAGUGCUUUAGGGAGGUAGCCUUCCUUCAAUAUUGAGUUCGUACAUGCCAACUUGGAAGGUGGUUAAUGGAAAAUUAAAUUUUUUUUUAAGUAAUUACCAUAAGACAUUGUCCAAGACACUUCAUAAUCCAUAUAAGAAAAAUUAGUUUCAGAGCCCAAACGUAAGAUCACAUGAUAUCUUGAAUUCAAUUUGAUUUGAAUUUUAUAUGUUUCUUGAAUAGGAAUAACAACAGGUGAGUUUGAGACUAUUCACCUCCAUCUCAAUUAUAUCCCAUUUAUUUAAAAUAAUUUUCAUUCUUGUCUUAUUUAAAACAUUAAAUUAGACGGGAUGGGUAUGAAAAAUUCUCAUAUCCGUCCCACCUCGUCCUAUUUAACCUUUUUUUGAAAUUUUAAAAUUUUUUUAAAUCAUUUUUAAAUUUUUUAAUUACAUUAAAAUGAAUAUAUUUUAUAAAUAAAUAAAUUAUUAUAAUUUUUUAACUUAUUUUAUUAAAAAGUAUUUUAUUAUUAUCUAUAUAUUAAAAAUAAAAAAAAUUAAAUUAAUUUUAAAAAUUAAUUUUAUAUAUAAUUUUGACAAGACAACACCCAAACCUCUCUUGAACUCAUCUCGGAUUAAAAAGAAUCUCAAACUCAUCCUAUUAGAGACAGGACAAGAUGGGACGUAUAAGAUGGGUACUUGAAAAAACUCGUUACAUUAUUGUCCUUAUCCUUGAAAUGGUUUUCUUUGUUAUAUUUUAUGCUUAGUUUUAUCCUAAAAGGCUUUCAAAACGAAAUUUACACUAUCUUAAGUUUUAUCCUAAAAUGUUUUUAAAAUAAAAAUGAUAGGCAUCUUGCCCUUAAAAAAAGAAGAAUAAUUUAAAAUAAAUGAAUAAAUAUAUGCAUAAAGGACGAAUCUAUUGAUUUUAAGACAUAUUAAGUUAUAUUAAUUUCAAUGCGGGAUAGAGCCAAACUUAGUGAAUGGGAUUUGGAUGACGAUGAUGUGAAGUGUGUUGAUAAAUAUUGGGCUUGAACACGUGCUAGAAGAAACCCACUGCUAAGUAGCACCACUAGUAGUAGAAGAAGACUGCCCGCCGGCGGAGGCUGCAGGAAGAACCGGAGAGGCAAGUCGUUCAGGAUAUUGACCGAUCGCCUUGCCUCCAAGGGUUUGGCCAGUGAUCCUGACCCUGACCCUCGUGGAAGUGCCUUGGCUGACUCCGCCACUACCUCUUCUGGGCUACACGAUGCUUCCGCUUCCAAUAUUGAUCUUGCUCUUGUUUAUGCCAACUUCCUAAACCAGAAGCCGGAGCCAAAGUCAACAGGGUUUGAAAUGCCAGAAUUGCCUUGUGAAUUCCAUCCAUCUUUCCAGCUUUCAUCAACUCUUUCAACGUCGAACACCAGCCUGGAUUCAUCACAUAUUCAAUUACCGCCGGACACUCAUUUGAGUGAGGAUAACCAGGUCUAUCUUAGUGGCUUCCACCCUAUUCACACCCAUCAUGACCAUGACUCUGCCAAUAUUUAUGGGCUGCCACCACUGCCAGGCCAAGAGGUUGCUCCUCUGGAGAUGUUGUGGCCCAUUUCUCAAGCCAUGGUUCAGAAUCAGACCUUGCACGAGACACAAUUGCCAGCUCUGCACCCAGAAGCUGCUCAACAUCCAAAUCAUGUAGCUGUCACUGCUGGUAACUGGAGCCCAUUUGAUUUGUCAUGCUACGAAACCUUCUCUCGGCCUUGAGAGAUUCCAUUUUGCUUAUUGUUUUCUUGUUUUACUUGCUAUAUAAUCUUGUAUACAAUGGAAAGCUUAUAAUGAAAUAAUUUUCAGGUGUCAACAAAUAUAUGCUUUAUAGUUAAAUUCACAAUGAUAAAUACUUCCUAAAAGAACAGCCAUGACGUUUAACUUCUGGAGAGACUAGAUGUACCCAACAGUGCCAUAUUGGGAUUUCGUUUACAGAUCAUAUGAUGUGCUUCGUAAUGGAUCAAAGAGCCUCACUACAUGAGAAAUAAUAAUAAUAAUAGUAAUAAUAUAUAUGGUUUUGGCGGGACAAGUUUGUGAAAAUAAGGUUGAACUGCUCAGGCAAUGGAGAUUGAAAAAAGAGUGUUUGAGCUAAUUGAUGAUCUAAUCUCCUUAGUCCUGUACAACCUGAGCGAUACAGAAUAUCAAUUUCAUGUUGGGAUAAUCCUAAUUAUAUAUUAAGCAAUAUAUGCUGAUUGUCUGUUGCUAAUUUUACUAGUGGAUUAGGGUUGAGGAUUUGAGACCAAAUACAAAUAGAGCUGCCACCAUCAAGUGUGGAACUGGUUGAAGAAUAAUGUGCGGGAGUGCUGUUUCUGUUCAGCUACUAAUUACUCAAAAGAAUAAGCAAUGGGGAAAUAAGCCCAUAAUGUACAUCAAGUUAACAGCCAUUCCUCUGGGACAAUUUCCUUGGAAAGCUCUCGCCUUCGGGAUUUGAUCCUCAAGCCCACUUUCGUUGAGUCUUGAGGCCAGUACAGAACAAGCAGACCUUCUCUUCCUGAGUUUCAAAGAUUGUGCCUUGAAGGACUGAAGUUCAAAUCCCAGUUCUCGAUGAGCAAAUCAUUGAUCCUAACUAAUUAAGUGAAUUAAAUUAAUCUCCUUCAUCAAAGAAGAUUGUUUCCUUGGUUAAGAAACAUUUUGCAGACCAGUGGAUAUGUAGAUUAAGACAUUACUGAAAUCAAAGAAACAUGAGAAGCAGAUUUUAAUACUUUUAUCAGAUAGUUUCCGUAACUGUAGUUCGAGGCUCUCCUGUUUCCCUAUUGACAUAGAAUUAACUUUCUGAUUGUAGAGCUAAAGAUGCCAAUAAACUAUCUGGUCCAUCUUCUCAGAAGUGUCAAAUGGAACGAAAUUAAGAAUUGCAUGCAGUGGUUUUGGUUUGUUAUGAACCAUAUAGAUGGAGCAGCUAGCAUAUAUAAAAUGCUGAGUGGGGCGACAUUUCUGGGCAUGUGGAUUAGCAAAUUUGGCUUAGAAAAUUGAAAGACUUGUUAUGAGUCAUCACCAACAUAAAACUCAGGGCAUCACACAUGAUCCCAGACAGACCCAUGAUCCAAGAAUUAAAUUGUCUUCUCAUAAACAUAUCAGUGCUGACAAACUUCUAGGGCAAAGGAACUAUUAAGUCUGAUAGAAUCGGAUAAUUAAUUGAAGCUUAAUGAUCAGUAUAAAUUAUUAUCAAGAUAAGCUUCAUGAAUAUAUUAGUUUAAUACUUGGGGGAUUUUUACGCACUAUUUUUAUACUAGUAGUACGUGUAUCCUUGUGCGCGCCAUGAAAGAGAAGCCAUUGGCAUUGGAAGAGAUGCCAUCGCCUUUCUCAUAAGAGAAGAAUGACCAUGAUCAGACAAAGAGCUUCACUAGUGAUUUGCAGUUUGGCCUUAGCAUGUUUUAGUGUAGGCAAAUCAGGAGCCUCAGCAUGGUAUCUAGAGGGCACCCCCAGUUUGACCAGCUGCCUAUAUAUGUUGUUUGAAUUUUAUCUUUCAAAGAUUCAAUUUUUUUUCUUUUGUUUUCUUCAGUUCUGUAUUUUCGCUUCACUAUGAUAAUCAAAAAGUGAAAUUUUGUGACCAACUGCAAAGGCAUCUCAAAAUCCAGGUUACUGAAAAGAGACCAAAUCUAUAUGUGUAGCGUUAUA
rnacentral:lncRNA from 1 species